UACGUAGGGUGCGAGCGUUAAUCGGAAUUACUGGGCGUAAAGCGUGCGCAGGCGGUUCGUCGUGUCCGAUGUGAAAGCCCGGGGCUCACCCCCGGAAGUGCAUUGGAAACUGGCGGACUCGAGUCCCGGAGAGGAGAGUGGAAUUCCUGGUGUAGCGGUGAAAUGCGUAGAUAUCAGGAGGAACACCGGUGGCGAAGGCGGCUCUCUGGACGGUGACUGACGCUGAGACGCGAAAGCGUGGGGAGCAAACAGG
rnacentral:rRNA from 1 species